AGCAGCCGCGGUAAUUCCAGCUCCAAUAGCGUAUAUUAAAGUUGUUGCAGUUAAAAAGCUCGUAGUUGAAUUUCGGGGUUAGUAGGUUGGUCAUGCCUCUGGUAUGUACUGGUCUCACUGAUUCCUCCUUCCUGAUGAACCUUAAUGCCAUUAAUUUGGUGUUUUGGGGAAUUUGGACUGUUACUUUGAAAAAAUUAGAGUGUUUAAAGCAAGCUAACGCUUGAAUACAUUAGCAUGGAAUAAUGAAAUAGGACGUUCGAUCCUAUUUUGUUGGUUUCUAGGAUUGACGUAAUGAUUAAUAGGGAUAGUUGGGGGCAUUAGUAUUCAAUUGUCAGAGGUGAAAUUCUUGGAUUUAUUGAAGACUAACUACUGCGAAAGCAUUUGCCAAGGAUGUUUUCAUUAAUCAAGAACGAAAGUUAGGGGAUCGAAGACGAUCAGAUACCGUCGUAGUCUUAACCAUAAACUAUGCCGACUAGGGAUCGGAUGAUGUUAAUUUUUAAUGACUCAUUCGGCGCC
rnacentral:rRNA from 1 species